CCUCCCCAUACUAUUCCUGCAGAACGGGACUUACGACAGAAUUAUCCAAACAGCUAUUACAUGCCGACUUACAGAAUUUGUUUUUGUCUGUUUGGUCCCUCCGGCCUCUGCCUCUUUUUCCAGUUUCUUUGGGGACGUGGAAGGUAUUCCAUAAUUGUCCGGUUGAUAAGAGCUAGCUUGAAUGUCAAUGCCAUCUGUUGCACACGCUGGAGCCGAUUCAGCCUCAUCUACAAACACAUCAAGGUUCUCGACUGGCAUUAGGGCUGUCAAAGUUAACGCGUUAAUGCGUACGAUUAAUUUAAAAUACUUAACACCGUUAAUUUUCUUUUCGCCGUUAACGCAACAUUUUUUUUUUUACCUCGGCGCCAUUCAGUAAGAAAUUGACUUUAGUGGGAGUUGACAGGAUCGUGCUACUAUCACACAUUUAUUGUUUAACAUUAACUUUAUUGGCGGUUGACUUGACCUGUGCGCUUCACAGGCAUUUUUUUCCAAUAUAUAAUUGGAAAGUUUGCAUUCAUGUCGUGAAUUGUGUUUACUCGGCACUAGUUUAACAACAACAGCCUAAAAAUGCGUUAGUAUGCUACACAUGAGUUUGUUCAAUGGAUGUGAGGAAAUGGGAAUAUCCCCAGUCUCACUACAAAAACACUUCAAACAGGAAUGCUAGCCAUCCCCAGCUCUGCUUCAUGAAUCCACCUACUAACAAUGCUUGUAGCAUGAGGAGUGGAGGGGGAUUGAUGUUGGGGCUGGGUGCUGGCUGGGACUGAGCACUGUGCUCAGCCUGCGGACUGUGAAGGACGUGGAGAGCCAGUCGGGCCUAGGAGGAAUUCAACUGUCAGCCACAAUGGCAUGAUUGAUGGAGGGGCCUCUAAUUAACACACCACUGUGACUCUUUCUUCACCCAGUGGUGGCUUUGGCCUUGUCACGUAGAGACAAAGCAGCAGCACAUGCUAUUACAUCCACCCAUUUCUCCCCCUUGAGUCUCUGUGUACUGAGACAUGUAUACAUACCUUCAUGACAUUGGAGAGAUAAUGAAUGUACUUAGAGCUUUGCAUUGAGGAAUGUGAUGCUUGCUCAGUUGUCCAGGCAAAAAGACCUAGACCUCCCGCAGGACUGUACUUGGAUGUACCCAAUUCAAUGAAUCAUUUGUUAUACUACUACGUCUUCCUCUGGAACCUCAUUGCUGUUAUCCCUACAUUUCAGUUGUUAUACUACUACGUCUUCCUCUGGAACCUCAUUGCUGUUAUCCCUACAUUUCAGUUGCACAUGCCACCUUGCACCUUCAAUUUCAUACAUCCCACUUACAUUUCUUACACUUGCAACUUCUGGUUAGAUGCUAACUGCAUUUUUUUUUACUGUACUUGAAACUUGUUCAAUGUCAAUAAAGUCACAUCUAAUCUAAUGGCGUCAGUCAAUGAAUGGGCAAUAACCCCCUGAUCAACCUAGACACACCUAUGCAUGUGAUUGAAGUGUAAUGAUGAAGAAUGAUGAUGAUGCAUUUAAUCUGAACUCU
ensembl:lncRNA